rnacentral:pre_miRNA from 1 species
CUAAUACUCCCUCCGUUCCUAAAUACUUGUCUUUCUAGGCAUUUCAACAAGUGACUACAUACGGAGCAAAAUGAGUGAAUCUACACUCUAAAAUAUGUCUACAUACAUCCGUAUGUAGUAGUCAUUUGAAAUGUCUAGAAUGACAAGUAUUUAGGAACGGAGGGAGUACAUU